rnacentral:lncRNA from 1 species
UCAGCAUCACCAUGCGGAGUAGCCCGCGCUUGGGGUCGACUUGGCUCGUCUUCCGCAUCACGCGAUUAAUUAACGUACCUGAACGAAAUGCAUUAUGUAUAUGAAUGCAUAUAAACAAGAAUAGUGCGAGACUAAAUAUUACUACAUGUCCACGAAUUAAACACCUAUAGCAACACAUCGCCAAUCAAUAAUAUAUAUAUUCACGCUCUACUUGCCUUUUAAAGUUCGACACCAAAAACUUAAUAAUUCUAAAUUCAUUAGUCUAAGACAUUUAAAUCUUAAAACAAGGACAAAAGCACGUUAACAUUCUAAACUACCAGACCGGACGACUUCGCAUCACCCGCCCGCUAAUUAAAAUGUCUAUUAGCAAAACAUUAAUUUAUUUAAACAAACUAAAUCGGCACGACAACAUCGUCAGAACUUACUAGCUAGCCAGAUAAAAUACUUAACCUAUCUUUUAUAUUAUUAAUUCGAUCACUCAUCGGAUACGAAACACCGAUUUAAUCCUUCUCGCAUAUCCUAAACUUAGCUACGCAGCACGACGACUUCGCAAUCGUGGACACAAUUACCCUGCUACAUGUAGCCCCGUAUUCCAACAAGCGUCAAAUAAAUACGUGCCCGAGCUACAAGCGGAAUAAUCGUCGUGACAUACGUACCUAGCAAUCUAUCCAUUAAACCAAUUAUUGGAAGUGGCGAAUUAGCUUACCAUAAUUAAAUUCGACUUGAAAUCAUGAAAUGGACAACGCCUUUCAGCUCUAGCCUUUCCCCGAAUACAUGGUGAGUGCCACAUCCCCGAAUACAUGGUGAGUGCCACAUCGAAUUACACUUCUUCGUCCACAUCGAGAAUUCUCUGGCCACGUACUGAUUUAUUUUCUUAUGCGCCUAAUUUUCUUAGAUUUUUGGCGUAGGCGAGGAUGACGACCCACGACUUGUUCGAGCUUUUUGUCGAGCACUUGAAGCAUCGACCAGUGGCUUGUUUCUCUACAUCUUAUUGAGAUUCUUUUGUCGGCGCGAACACUAAGUCGAAGAUAUCACGCAGGGGGUGGCAUUGAGACGAGACUACGGAACAACGACGAACUAGCGAGCUGAACCACAGCAAGUGAGGUCUUAGCGCGGAUGAGCAACGGCAACUAGCGGACUCGGAACAGCCGAGUGAGGUGCACGGCCAUCAAAGCGUAAGCGCCGGCGAGCUGAACAUCCACGACGGACGACAGCAGGAUCGACCGAGUGCGCACAGACGACAGCAGGAUCGACCGAGUGCGCACAGAGGUGGAUGGCACGGCGAGCAAGUCCAUGGACGAACGCCGAGCAGGAACGAGAUCCGGGCUGGGAGAUGGGCAGGGAUGGAGCUCGACCGAACGGCUGCCAGCAGGGGGAGCUGCUCGGCUGCAGCAUCACGGCGUCGGCCUGCAGCAUCUCCAACACGGCGGCCGCAGCUGGAACAAGGAGAAGCGCCAGCGAGCAGAGAGGGGCGACCGGUGCUGCUAGAGCUGGAGCAGGAACGCGCCAUGGGAGAGACGCGGACCUGGGGCCGGGCGCGCACAGGGAGCUUCGACCAGGGCGCGGCUGGGGAGCUCAGGGAGAGAAAGCCGAGCGCCAGCCAGGGAGACGGAGGAAUGAGCGCUCGCAAGAAAAUCUGGCGACGGGAUGAGGCUAAGAGAGAAGAGAUAAGA